CAACAAUGUUAUUGGUGGUGAUUAUAGUAAAUCCUUCAUUGUCUACCAUCUGUUAUCUACUGAAUUUGUAAUCCCUUAACAAGCAUCUAACUGGAGACACAACUCUUGCUGUAUUCUUUAAGCUCUGCGCGAUGACUCACGUUCAAGAGCUGGUUGGAAUUCUGACUUGUUUGUAAAGCCGUCAUGCUCACCGCUUCAAUGGCUGGAGUGCGUUUUGCAGGGGCAACAUGGGCUUGCGAUUCAAAAAUUAAGUAAAUAAGCUUUCAAGCUUCCAUCAAGUUAUUAAAAACCAAAUUCAACAACAUAUACUACGAAGUUCGAGAUCUGUAUACUGCACGGCUCUUCUCUUUCAUUUCAUAGAUGUUGCAUUUAUUUGUUCAAUUUAACAUAUAAAUACAAGAUAGUUAAAUACAAAUAUACUAAUAGGGUGAGAAUAAGUGUUGCCACAAAAAGAUACCAUCAUAUUGGCAGAUUUGUUGAUUACGAUGUUAGACCAAUG